rnacentral:rRNA from 1 species
UACAGAGGGUGCGAGCGUUGUCCGGAAUCACUGGGCGUAAAGGGCGCGUAGGCGGCUUGGCAAGCGUGCGGUGAAAGCUCAGGGCUCAACCCUGAGUCUGCCGUGCGAACUGCCGGGCUUGAGCACAGUAGAGGCAGAUGGAAUUCCGGGUGUAGCGGUGGAAUGCGUAGAGAUCCGGAAGAACACCGGUGGCGAAGGCGGUCUGCUGGGCUGUGUCUGACGCUGAGGCGCGACAGCGUGGGGAGCAAACAGG